UGGGGAAUUUUGGACAAUGGGCGAAAGCCUGAUCCAGCAAUGCCGCGUGCAGGAUGAAGGCCCUCGGGUUGUAAACUGCUUUUGUACGGAACGAAAAGCCUGGGGCUAAUAUCCCCGGGUCAUGACGGUACCGUAAGAAUAAGCACCGGCUAACUACGUGCC
rnacentral:rRNA from 1 species